rnacentral:lncRNA from 1 species
GUUCUCGUGCUUGUCAAGACCCAUAAAAAUAGUGUAAUCUCCUGCCUCUGGUCUGGCUUUGAAGUAGAACACCAUCUUUUUUGCUCUUUUUUUUUUCAAACAACCAAACAAAAUCGGAAUAGUUUCAAGGCUGCUUUGUGUUUUUUUUUCCCUCAAGGCUGCUUUGUGUUUGUGCUUUCUUUUUUGGUUUGACGGAGGUUCGCUGCUUUUGGUUGGUUCUGGGAUAACGUGGAAAUAACC